rnacentral:lncRNA from 1 species
AGUUACUUUAAAAUAGAAAAAAAAAUCACAGGCAUUUAGUGCUUUCAAAUAUGUUAACAGGGACAAAGCAGGAAGUGCUCAGGUAAAGCGAAGGCUCGGAGCUGAGACAGAGACUCACAUCAAGGCUCAGGGAUGUGCUGCAGUAUUUGUCCCAAUCUGAAUGGAAAACCUGUCCCUGGAUGCUACAGCAACAUCAGUCACAACUGCCAAGACCCAGACGCAACUGUGAUGUCCAGUAAAAGAGCAAUGGAAUUGGGGGCCUUUUGGUCUGUAAUUCAUGGCACCAAGCAGGAUCCAGCUAAAGAGACAUGAGAAAAAAUAUUUUCUACAACAAAAUCCUACCAAGGAGCAACCCAGGUCCCUGGCUGGGCACUCCCAGACAUUCAGCAGAACUAAGACCCAGAUCAUGGUGAGGUCUCAGGAGUCUUCUGCAUCAAUGAAGGGAAACCAACUGAGGCAGUCUCUCUGUCUACAGCUGACGCUGUUGAGAAUGAGAGAGGUGCUCUCUCUCCAAUUUGCUUUUUUUUUCUCUGUGUCACCCAAUGGACAACAGCCAAACCGAUCCAAUUCGCAAAAGCCAACAAUGACAUCAGCUGGUCUGAAAUCCGCUCAACAAAAUCCAGGAGGACCAGAGAAGUAAUAAAAGACAUUGGUCACUGAUAAAAUAUUUAUUAAUUAUAGCUAAAUCAAAAGCAUGACUGGAUUAGUAUAGCAGGAAAUAUGCUCAAGGUUAACUGGUCCUAUUUAUCAGCUUAGCAAUUAAACACAAAACAGAUAUUCAAAUAUCUGCUAAUCGUUGACUUUAUAAGAUUCAAAUUCAGAAAAGCA